CCAGGAUGCUGAGACCAUGACUUUGACUAGAAUCCAACAAUUUCCAAUAUAUUUCGAUUAUUUAUUGAGACUGAAGACUGGCCAGCCAUGAAGAUGCCAAUGUACUUUUCCAAAGAACUUGAACAAAAGAUUUGUCAUGACAUUUUGAAGAAGAUAAUUCCAUUUGGGUAACAGAAGUGUCAAGGAGCUGUGGCAGAGAUAUUCCAGGCCCUGGAAAGUUCAAGUCAAGGCCCACUAGGAGAGAUUUACUGACACCACCAUUUUAGGUAUGAGGAUAUAACUGGAUUAUAAUAGGGAACAUGUUCACUUUGGAAUAGUAAUAAGCCCAUAAAUAAACAAACAGCAACGUUGUAUGUGGUUUAAAAAGAGUAAUAAUAAUAAUAAUAAUAAUAAAGGUUGGGCAGUAUUGCACUGUGUUAACACACAUAGUAAGAAGCACAAAGAUCCUGGUUCAAGCCC